CCUUGCCCCGCUCUGUCGGCGUGACGUAUGACGUCUCUUGUCACAUGUCGGGGCGGCAAUACAAAUCCGAACCACCGACUGUCUGCGGCAUUGCCCGAUUCGGGUCCACUUGCGACCCGUCUUGAAACACGGACCAAGGAGCGUAACACAUGCGCGAGUCGAAGGGUGCUUCUAAACCCAUAGGCGCAGCGAAAGCGUAGGGGACGAUGGUUUAUUAAGGUCGUGCUCUCCGGUCGCGGUUUUAAACCCGCCUCCACGGAUCCGGCCAGCCCGCAGUCCCGGGGCACCUCAUGUGGGUCCUGGUCGUCGUCCCGUCGAUUCCCCGUCACGUCCCGUCUCAGCCCCGUCAAAAAGGGUUCGGGGCGGGUGCCGUGCGGACCAGUUUCGUGCGGGAACCACGGCGGCCCCGACUCGAGGCGCACCUGUGAGCGUAUGUGUUGUUACCCGAAAGAUGGUGAACUAUGCCUGGCCAGGACGAUAGCCAGGGGAAACCCUGGUGGAAGUCCGUAGCGAUUCUGACGUGCAAAUCGAUCGUCGGAGC
rnacentral:rRNA from 1 species